rnacentral:lncRNA from 1 species
UAGUGGCAGGUGUAAGAGUAGCCUCAACAAUAUUCCUGUAAUACUUGUGUCAGCUAAUCGGCUGCAGGACUCAUCAGAUGUGUUUGCCGUGACGUCAAGGUUCAUCUUUCUUUUCUCCAAUCGCUGAAGGUGCCGUGAGCACAGCCAUAUGCAGUGUACUACUGUUAACUUUCUAUGAGUAACAUUGUCAUAUUGUGCCCUAUAUUAUUAGUCAUGAGGAAAUUUUUGUUUUCUGUCAGGACAUCACGUUGUUUACUUAAUGGUACCAAGUAUGCACUUGGAGUCCAGCUCAAACAUCUCACCAAUGUUUCGCAAUUUUUGUACUCCCCGUGCGCCAUCCUUUUGUGUGCGGGAGGCAAACAAUACAUGUAACCAGUUACAUUACACAUAAGUAAAGCUGGAACCGGCAGUGCAGCUUUCGUGCUCUUCAAUAUGCCUGCAACAAUGCAGUACAACACCCAAGGCCAUUUGGUGCAGUGGUCUCAUGAAUGCAAAUGUUCAGACAGGAAAAGCAGAACUGGAGCAGUGCAUAUAUGGAUCGAUAGCGGCAUCGCACAUUGAUGCCAGGAAAUCAACUACAGAUUAUUUUUCUAGCUCUUCAUUGGACCAGAUGGAAGUGCCUUCUCAAAGUGCCAUACUUUACAAAGGACCAAGAUGUGAGCAUCAAACUAUGUAUUGAGCAACUACAAUCUUGUGCUCAAGGUGUUCGCAAGUUCAAACAACGCCCUACCCUCCAGCCCUGCACACUGACAGUUUUCAGUGUUGCUGUUGAUGCCUUUACAACCCGUGAAGGUAAACGAAGACCAAUGAAGAUAAAUAAUGUGUGAAGGCUUGAAAAGGGUGCACUGAAAGAGCCAUGCCAGCUCGUUCUAAUUACUAUAUUUGUGCAAUUUUAAUAAAGGUUGGGAGAAAUGUAAGAGU